AGAAGAAGGAGGGCGGUGGCGGGGGUGAUGCAGCGGCCGCUGAGGGUGGCGCAGGGGCCCCGGCCAGCCCGGGGCUGCAGCAGUGCGGACAGCUCCAGAAGCUCAUCGGCAUCUCCAUUGGCAGCCUGCGCGGGCUGGGCACCAAGUGCGCUGUGUCCAACGACCUCACCGAGCAGGAGAUACGGACCCUGGAGCAUUGUCCCAAUUCCUUCUUCUAAUGAAGAAAUACGCUUAGUUGAUGAUGCGUUUGGAAAAAUUUGUCACAUGGUCAGUGAUGGCUCUUGGGUGGUUCAUGUUCAGGCAGCAAAACUGUUGGGCUCUAUGGAGCAAGUCAGUUCUCAUUUCUUGGAGCAGACCCUUGACAAGAAGCUGAUGUCAGAUCUGAGGAGGAAACGUACUGCACAUGAGCGUGCCAAGGAACUUUACAGUUCAGGGGAGUUUUCCAGUGGCAGAAAGUGGGAAGAUGAUGCUCCCAAGGAAGAAGUAGAUACCGGGGCUGUGAACUUGAUUGAGUCAGGAGCUUGUGGAGCUUUUGUUCAUGGGUUGGAAGAUGAGAUGUAUGAGGUUCGUAUUGCUGCUGUGGAGGCCCUCUGCAUGUUGGCCCAGUCUUCACCCUCUUUUGCUGAGAAGUGCCUUGAUUUCCUAGUUGACAUGUUCAACGAUGAAAUUGAGGAAGUACGUCUGCAGUCCAUACAUACCAUGAGAAAAAUCUCUAACAACAUCACCCUCCGAGAAGAUCAGCUUGACACUGUCCUGGCUGUGCUAGAGGAUUCAGCCAGAGAUAUUCGAGAGGCUCUUCAUGAACUCUUAUGCUGUACUAAUGUUUCAACCAAAGAAGGGAUUCAUCUUGCAUUGGUGGAGCUGCUGAAAAAUUUAACCAAGUACCCUACUGAUAGGGACUCCAUAUGGAAGUGCUUGAAGUUUCUGGGAAGUCGGCAUCCAACCCUGGUGCUUCCCUUGGUGCCAGAGCUUCUGAGCACCCACCCAUUUUUUGACACAGCUGAACCAGACAUGGAUGAUCCAGCUUAUAUUGCAGUUUUGGUACUUAUUUUCAAUGCUGCUAAAACCUGUCCAACAAUGCGAGCAUUGUUCUCAGAUCACACCGUCAGGCACUAUGCCUACCUCCGAGACAGUCUUUCUCAUCUUGUUCCUGCCUUGAGGUUACCAGGUAGAAAACUGGUGUCAUCAGCUGUUUCUCCCAGCAUCAUACCUCAAGAGGAUCCUUCGCAGCAGUUCCUGCAGCAGAGCCUUGAAAGAGUGUAUAGUCUUCAGCACUUGGACCCUCAGGGAGCCCAGGAGCUGCUGGAAUUCACCAUCAGGCCUUGCAGGAAAAGUCGUGGAAUGUAGCUGCCCCUUCGUAUUUGAAGCAGAGUGAUUUGGCCUCAGCAGCAGCAAAACAGACUUUACCCCUUAUUUGGGAUGUGUGAAAAAUUUUUACAGGAAGUAGACUUUUUUCAGAGGUAUUUCAUCGCUGAUUUGCCCCACUUGCAGGACAGCUUUGUGGACAAACUCCUUGACCUUAUGCCCCGACUCAUGACAUCCAAACCUGCAGAAGUGGUCAAAAUUCUACAGACCAUGCUGCGACAGAGUGCCUUUCUGCAUCUCCCACUUCCAGAGCAGAUCCACAAAGCCUCAGCCACCAUCAUUGAGCCAGCGGGCGAGUCAGACAACCCUUUGCAGUUUAACUCUGGGUUGGUGGUUGCCCUGGAUGUUGAUGCAACCCUGGAGCAUGUGCAGGAUCCUCAGAACACUGUUAAGGUCCAGGUCU